rnacentral:misc_RNA from 1 species
CGCACCUUGCGCUCCUUGGUAUUCCGAGGAGCAUGCCUGUUUGAGUGUCAUUAAAUUCUCAACUCCCUUUGAUUUCUCAUCAACGGCGAGCUUGGAUUGUGGAGGCUUUGCUGGCUGUGAAGUCAGCUCCUCUGAAAUGUAUUGGCAAAGGCGUGCACAAACGGCCUUUCGGUGUGAUAAUGAUCACCGUGGCUGGAAGUGCUUUAAUUGUCUAUGUCUCACCUUUUGAAGUCUUCACGGCUUUGAAAACCCCACUUGACAAUUUUGACCUCAAAUCAGGUAGGACUACCCGCUGAACUUAA